rnacentral:antisense_RNA from 3 species
CUUGACCGAGCCCAGCCACAGCGGCAGUUCGGUGCUGUGCCGGCUGCCGUAGGUGGCCAGCAGGGCCUGGGCCUC